rnacentral:rRNA from 1 species
AUACGGAGGGUGCAAGCGUUACUCGGAAUCACUGGGCGUAAAGCGCGCGCAGGCGGCUAUUUAAGUUGGAUGUGAAAGCCUACGGCUCAACCGUAGAACUGCAUCCAAAACUAUUUAGCUAGAGUGUGGGAGAGGAAGAUGGAAUUAGUUGUGUAGGGGUAAAAUCCAUAGAGAUAACUAGGAAUACCAAAAGCGAAGGCAAUCUUCUGGAACACUACUGACGCUGAGGCGCGAAAGCGUGGGGAGCAAACAGGAUUAGAUACCCUAGUAGUCC